AUGGGUGUGGGUUUCCUUUUGUCCUUCACAUGCAUAGGACAUGAAAUAAUUCCAAGGUCUUCAGAGUCUGUGGAAACCACUGCAGCAGAACCUCUAACCAAUCCUACCUGGAGACCCACAGGCUCCACUCUGUAUGGGCAGCGGUCAACAAGCUUUGCCGCCAAGUGCCUGAUUAGCUGAAUGAGAGCUUUGUCAUUUCUUCGGAUGCAGUCAGUGAAAUCAGUAUCUCUGGAUUACAGGAAAGGAGAAAAUGGAUGAAAUGGUGCCAUCGGCACCAUGCUUGCCCAUUCUUGUUUAGCUCCUGAGUCAGCUGGGGCACCUAUGCCAUCGCCCUCAGUGUGGGGCUGGGUGUCCCUGAAGCCAUGGAACCAUGUAGGUGUGUCUUCCCAGAAGACACAGCACGGGUGAAGAUUCUGUGCCGACAUUCACCCGUCUAUGCAGUGUAUAGAUGCAGGUUCCCAUGCGUUUCCCGAGGCAGAGUCCCUCACCCUGCUCCGACUGAAUGCUUUUGU